UACGUAGGGUGCGAGCGUUGUCCGGAAUUAUUGGGCGUAAAGAGCUUGUAGGCGGUCUGUCGCGUCUGCUGUGAAAAUCCGGGGCUCAACCCCGGACUUGCAGUGGGUACGGGCAGACUAGAGUGUGGUAGGGGAGACUGGAAUUCCUGGUGUAGCGGUGAAAUGCGUUGAUAUCAGGAGGAACACCCAUGGCGAAGGCAGCAUACUGGCCGGCAUCUGACGCUGAGGCGCGAAAGCGUGGGUAGCAAACAGG
rnacentral:rRNA from 1 species